rnacentral:rRNA from 2 species
UUGCCCUAGUAACGGCGAGUGAAGCGGCAACAGCUCAAAUUUGAAAUCUGGCCUCGGCCCGAGUUGUAAUUUGCAGAGGAAGCUUUAGGCGCGGCACCAUCUGAGUCCCCUGGAACGGGGCGCCAUAGAGGGUGAGAGCCCCGUAUAGAUGGACGCCUAGCCUGUGUAAAGCUCCUUCGACGAGUCGAGUAGUUUGGGAAUGCUGCUCAAAAUGGGAGGUAAAUUUCUUCUAAAGCUAAAUACCGGCCAGAGACCGAUAGCGCACAAGUAGAGUGAUCGAAAGAUGAAAAGCACUUUGAAAAGAGGGUUAAAUAGCACGUGAAAUUGUUGAAAGGGAAGCGCUUGUGACCAGACUUGCGCCGGGCGGAUCAUCCGGUGUUCUCACCGGUGCACUCCGCCCGGCUCAGGCCAGCAUCGGUUCUCGCGGGGGGAUAAAGGCCCUGGGAACGUAGCUCCUCCGGGAGUGUUAUAGCCCAGGGCGCAAUGCCCUCGCGGGGACCGAGGUUCGCGCAUCUGCAAGGAUGCUGGCGUAAUGGUCAUCAGCGACCCGUCUUGAAACACGGACCAAGGAGUCAAGGUUUUGCGCGAGUGUUUGGGUGUAAAACCCGCACGCGUAAUGAAAGUGAACGUAGGUGAGAGCUUCGGCGCAUCAUCGACCGAUCCUGAUGUUUUCGGAUGGAUUUGAGUAGGAGCGUUAAGCCUUGGACCCGAAAGAUGGUGAACUAUGCUUGGAUAGGGUGAAGCCAGAGGAAACUCUGGUGGAGGCUCGCAGCGGUUCUGACGUGCAAAUCGAUCGUCAAAUCUGAGCAU